rnacentral:rRNA from 1 species
AGCGAACGCUGGCGGCAGGCUUAACACAUGCAAGUCGAACGGACAUCCCGGGGUUGGUGGCGGCGGGCGGGGGACUAACGGGUAAGGAGCAUGUAGGUGCGGCGUAAUUGAGGGUGACAUGUCUUAAUAAUACCUGAGCCCUUCGGGGGUAAGAGUUAUUGGCUCUAGGGGGGUCCGCGCACGUUUCGUUAGUUGGUUGUGGACAUGGCUCACCACGGCGACGAUGAGUAGCUGGUCUGAGAGGAUGAUCAGCCACAUUGGGACUGAGACACGGCCCAGACUCCUACGGGAGGCAGCAGUGGGGAAUCUUGCGCAAUGGGGGAAAGCCUGACGCAGCCAUGCCGCGUGAGUGAUGAAGGUCUUAGGGUUGUAAAUUUCUUUCACCCGGGACGAUAAUGACGGUACCGGAAGAAGAAGCCCCGGCUAACUUCGUG